rnacentral:rRNA from 1 species
GGACGAACGCUGGCGGUAUGCUUAACACAUGCAAGUCGAACGAGAAGGAAGAGCUUGCUCUUCCUGAAAGUGGCGAACGGGUGAGUAACGCGUGGGUAACCUACCCUUUGGAAAGGAAUAGCCUCGGGAAACUGGGAGUAAUGCCUUAUAAGAUACGUUUGUCGCAUGGCAUUUGUAUUAAACGCUCCGGCGCCAUAGGACGGACCCGCGUCCCAUUAGCUAGUUGGUGAGAUAACAGCUCACCAAGGCCACGAUGGGUAACCGGUCUGAGAGGGCGAACGGUCACACUGGAACUGAGACACGGUCCAGACUCCUACGGGAGGCAGCAGUGGGGAAUAUUGCGCAAUGGGGGCAACCCUGACGCAGCAAUACCGCGUGAGUGAAGAAGGUUUUCGGAUCGUAAAGCUCUGUUAUUGGGGAAGAAAAAAAGACGGUACCCAAGAAGAAAGUUCCGGCUAACUACGUGCCAGCAGCCGCGGUAAUACGUAGGGAACAAGCGUUGUCCGGAUUUACUGGGCGUAAAGGGCACGCAGGCGGUUUUUUAAGUCAGAUGUGAAAGGCCACAGCUCAACUGUGGACAUGCAUUUGAAACUGAAAGACUUGAGUAUUGGAGAGGCAAGUGGAAUUCCUAGUGUAGCGGUGAAAUGCGUAGAUAUUAGGAGGAACACCGGUGGCGAAGGCGGCUUGCUGGACAAAUACAGACGCUGAGGACGAACGCUGGCGGUAUGCUUAACACAUGCAAGUCGAACGAGAAGGAAGAGCUUGCUCUUCCUGAAAGUGGCGAACGGGUGAGUAACGCGUGGGUAACCUACCCUUUGGAAAGGAAUAGCCUCGGGAAACUGGGAGUAAUGCCUUAUAAGAUACGUUUGUCGCAUGGCAUUUGUAUUAAACGCUCCGGCGCCAUAGGACGGACCCGCGUCCCAUUAGCUAGUUGGUGAGAUAACAGCUCACCAAGGCCACGAUGGGUAACCGGUCUGAGAGGGCGAACGGUCACACUGGAACUGAGACACGGUCCAGACUCCUACGGGAGGCAGCAGUGGGGAAUAUUGCGCAAUGGGGGCAACCCUGACGCAGCAAUACCGCGUGAGUGAAGAAGGUUUUCGGAUCGUAAAGCUCUGUUAUUGGGGAAGAAAAAAAGACGGUACCCAAGAAGAAAGUUCCGGCUAACUACGUGCCAGCAGCCGCGGUAAUACGUAGGGAACAAGCGUUGUCCGGAUUUACUGGGCGUAAAGGGCACGCAGGCGGUUUUUUAAGUCAGAUGUGAAAGGCCACAGCUCAACUGUGGACAUGCAUUUGAAACUGAAAGACUUGAGUAUUGGAGAGGCAAGUGGAAUUCCUAGUGUAGCGGUGAAAUGCGUAGAUAUUAGGAGGAACACCGGUGGCGAAGGCGGCUUGCUGGACAAAUACAGACGCUGA